rnacentral:rRNA from 1 species
CGCCCGCUCAGAAACUUAAAGGAAUUGACGGGGGCCCGCACAAGCGGUGGAGUAUGUGGUUUAAUUCGAUGCAACGCGAAGAAACCCUUACCUGGUCUUGACAUCCCGGAGACCCUUAGGAAACUAGGGGGUGCUUCCAUCUGGAAGAAUCUAGAGACAGGUGCUGCAUGGCUGUCGUCAGCUCGUGUCGUGAGAUGUUGGGUUAAGUCCCGCAACGAGCGCAACCCUUGCCUUUAGUUGCCAGCAGUUCGGCUGGGCACUCUAAAGGGACUGCCGGUGUUAAACCGGGGGAAGGUGGGGAUGACGUCAAGUCCUCAUGGCCUUUAUGACCAGGGCUACACACGUACUACAAUGGCCGAUACAAAGGGCAGCGACACUGCGAGGUGAAGCCAAUCCCGUAAAAUCGGUCUCAGUCCGGAUUGGAGUCUGCAACUCGACUCCAUGAAGUUGGAAUCGCUAGUAAUCGUGGAUCAGCAUGCCACGGUGAAUACGUUCCCGGGCCUU